rnacentral:SRP_RNA from 13 species
ACUCAUUCCUCGCCUGCCCCCACAUGCUCAAAAGCUCCUUGUCCCAGGCCCGCACGAAGAGUGAGUGGGAGUCCACCUGGAGGCAGAAAGCGCCGGGAGACUGCGCGACGUAGGCUGGUUUCACAG